AAGUAAUGGUGGCUUUUAUUUAUUUAUUUAUUUAUACCAUGUGAAAGUAACGAUAGCAUUUAUUUGGCUGCACCAUGGUAUAUGGAAGUUCCAGGGCCAGGGAUCAAACAUGCACCACAGCAGUGACCCGAGCCACCGCAAUGACAACGGUGGAUCCCUAACCUGCUGCGCCACCACCAGGGAACUCACUGAUGACAAUUAUUGACGAGGCAGGCACUUGAAUCCAUUCUCACAGCUCCCAUGAGGCAGGCACUAGUACAAUUAUACCAACAGGGCAGUAAAACUGAAGCUUAGCAAGAUUAAAUAACUUUCACCCAAUUAAUAAUUGGAGGAGCUGGAAUUUGAACCCAGGCAGCCCAGCCUGGGCUGAGCUACUCAGCCAAGGUGAACAGCUUCUGGGAAGCAGGACAGAAAGAAAAAAAGAGAAAAAUAUGUCCGCCCAAUCAAUUGUCUUGCACCUGCUACCAUGAGGGAUUAAGGCUCUGGGCUGAGCUGCUCAGCCAAGGUGAACAGCUUCUGGGAAGCAGGACAGAAAGAAAAAAAGAGAAAAAUAUGUCCGCCCAAUCAAUUGUCUUGCACCUGCUACCAUGAGGGAUUAAGGCUCUGGGCUGAGCUGCUCAGCCAAGGUGAACAGCUUCUGGGAAGCAGGACAGAAAGAAAAAAAGAGAAAAAUAUGUCCGCCCAAUCAAUUGUCUUGCACCUGCUACCAUGAGGGAUCAAGCCUCUGGGCCCCGAGCUCCUGCUAUAUGAGACAGUAGGUGGACAGAGAAUCACCUGCCCAGUGGCCCUGGUCUUUGUCGAGGAACGAAAGACUGACCUUUGCAGUGAGGGGUGGGGGAGGCCUUGCUGCCAUCAUGGCCCUUAAUCCUGAGGUUAGGGAACUGAGGUGCAGGUUAUGUGGGUUUCUAAGCAUAUCCAUCCCACCCUUUUCAGGGAAGAUGCUGGCAGGUGAGCCCAGGUUCUGCUGGGCCCCCUCCCUCAUCUGGCCUCUGCUGGGAUUAGAGUCCAUUUAGCCACCCAAUAAUCCCCCGGAGCUUGGGUGCCUCCUCCUCCCUGGGGCCUGGUCUCCAGGUCAGAAGCCCCAGGUCCUGCUGGGAAGGACACACAAAGAACCCUGGUGCUCAGGAUACCAGCUUCCUUCAAGAUUUCCCAAGCCACCAUUUGGGUUGAUAAGCUGAUUAAGUUGAUCAGUCACUCAAGGGGCUGAGAUUCUAUAGUAGUGAUUCCCAACACUGGGAUCGGGGGGAAGCACUCACCGCCUCCCCACCCCACCCCCGCCCUGCCCCGAUCCAGAGCAUUUCAAAAUCGCUGGAGACAAGUAUGAUAGUCACAACUGGGAGCAGGGAGAAGGGUGCAACUGGCAUCCACUGGGUUGAGGCCAGGGGUACAAUGCAGGGGACAGUGCUUCCCACCAAGAAGUAUCCAGCGCAAACCGUCAGUGAUACCAAGGUAGGGAACUCCUGUCCUAGAGAGUUCUGGUGAGCACAAGAACCCUUGAGACACUUGUUUUAAAAGCAGUCUUAAAAAUAAUUACAAAAUUUAAAAAAUGAUUAUUAAAAAAAAUAAAAUGCCAAGUCUUGUGUCCUAUCUGACAUUCUAAUCCAGCAGGGUUUGGAGCAGGACCCAGGCAUCUGCAUUUUCAAGCGUUCCAGGCAAUCUGAGGAUAGGUGGGCCACGCUGAGAAAUACCACUGCAGGAUUCCAAAACUCUGGUCCCUAGACCUGUGUGGGCCUGCCUAAGAGCAACCCAGAGUGCUUAUUACAAGUCUGGGAUCCUUGCUCCAUCCCUGGAGCUUCUGUUCUCAUAGAUCUGGCUUUGGUCGCAGCAUUCUCUGGGUUUGUUUGUUCUGGGUGAUUCUCAUGCAAGUUCAUGAUACGGAGUGUGGGCUGAGUUAGCAUAGACUUUGGUCACCUACCCUCACUCUCCUGGUUCCGAGUCAAGCAAAACUCUGGUGGCUGCCAACGGACUUCGUUCCUGGAAACCGCAAGGUUUAUAAACAAAGGUCACGUCCAGCACAGGGACUUGGAAAUUCUGAAAAGCAACCACAACUGUCCCCACUCAAUUUCUCCCCUGUUCCUCACAUCCCCAAUGUUGUCAAGGAACCAAUUUUUGGUCAGAGCAACCCAAUCUCAUCAACGGCCUGGCUUCAGCAGGGAAGGGUGCCCCUGCGGUCUGCAGUAAUAGCAGCCUCCUCUAAUGUACCUCUUCCUCUCUGUUGAGAAUCUGGGCUGAUGGGCCCCCUUACUAUAGAAUGGAAUGUGCCAGAUGUCGAGGGGGAAACCAUCCAGGAGAGAUACCCGUCACCUUGCUGUUGUUGUUACAGAUCCUUCAGGGACACUUCAUCCAGGCUCUGGUCCCACUUGGAAAGUCAUCCCAGCUCCCCCUAAAGGCCACGAUCUGUCUAAAGGCCUCGGUCUGUCACGUCUGCGCGUUGCCCCCCCCACCCCCACCCCACGCCGCCAGCGGUCUCCAACCCUGGUGCGGCACUGUCCCCUGUCGGCCACCCUGUGUGUGUGCAGCUCCGCUAACCUCACCUGCCCGGUUCCCUGCUAGUUCGUCAGGGCCCAGGACGGUCUCCCAGGCCACUUCCCACUGUCA
ensembl:lncRNA